UGUGAGCGAGCAGUGGCACAAAACAAGGCCCUGGAGAUGAAAGGUUCCUGGUUUUGCCAAAUACUGGUUCUACGACUUUGGAUAAGCUACAUGAUUUCUCUGUGCCUCAGUUUCGUCAUGUGUGAAAUGAGGGUACAAAAGCAGACAAAUUCAAAGAAACCAGCCUUUGGCAACUGCAAAGAGAGUGCAUAGGAUAAGGCCUGUGAACAAAGCUGUGAAAACCCAUAUGGUGGCGUGCCUGGAUGAAACUUAUAUCACAUAGAUCACCUUGUUGUAAACAGGUGAGAAGAGUGACUACGCGUUCUUGUUGGCCAUCUACCAAGCCAACAGGGGGUUGGCUACUGUAGAAGAAGGGAGGAACAGAUACAGGAG